rnacentral:rRNA from 1 species
UACGAAGGGGGCUAGCGUUGCUCGGAAUUACUGGGCGUAAAGCGCACGUAGGCGGUCUUUUAAGUCGGGGGUGAAAUCCUGGAGCUCAACUCCAGAACUGCCUUCGAUACUGGCGCUCUUGAGUCCGGAAGAGGUGAGUGGAACUCCUAGUGUAGAGGUGGAAUUCGUAGAUAUUAGGAAGAACACCAGUGGCGAAGGCGGCUCACUGGUCCGGUACUGACGCUGAGGUGCGAAAGCGUGGGGAGCAAACAGG